rnacentral:tRNA from 1 species
GGCGGCAUAGCCAAGCGGUAAGGCACGGGACUGCAAAUCCCUGAUUCCCCGGUUCGAAUCCGGGUGCCGCCUCCA